UACGUAGGGUGCAAGCGUUUGUCCGGAAUUAUUGGGCGUAAAGAGCUCGUAGGCGGCUUGUCGCGUCGGCUGUGAAAACCUAGGGCUCAACCCUGGGCCUGCAGCCGAUACGGGCAAGCUAGAAUUCGGUAGGGGAGACUGGAAUUCCUGGUGUAGCGGUGAAAUGCGCAGAUAUCGGGAAGAACACCCGUGGCGAAGGCGGCACUCUGGGACGGUACUGGACGCUGAGACGCGAAAGCGUGGGGAGCGAACGAGGAAUUGAUGAUACCCUCGUAGGUCC
rnacentral:rRNA from 1 species